AGCAGUCUGAGUUGGCCCAGUGCCAUAUUUUUUUGAAUGAAUUAAAACUUUCAACAACGGAUCUCUUGGCUCUCGUAUCGAUGAAGAACGCAGCGAAAUGCGAUAAGUAAUGUGAAUUGCAGAAUUCAGUGAAUCAUCGAAUCUUUGAACGCAC
rnacentral:rRNA from 1 species